rfam:Sodalis glossinidius str. 'morsitans' DNA, complete genome.
GCAGCGGCAAAUUCCGUUGCCGGGUUUGAGACCCCGUAUAUCGAUCUGGUGCCAAGACACGCACCCAAAGCGUUUUUUUU